CACAGGACGCUUUUAGGGUCUGCACUCUGCCCACAGUUCCCACUCACUCUGUACAAGCCUUCUUUCGGCCUUUUCACCCAAGGUCUGGUGCUGCUCUCCCUUUUCGUGACCUAGAACCUCCUAAAGCCAAUUUCCCUACAGAGAUCCUGUGUAAGACACCCCCCGCCCUGCGGAGGCCACACUCAUCUCUGGCUCUGGAAUGAGAGGAAGAGCCCUAAGGUGAAAGAAGCAGUUAAACAAAGAUGGAAGAAAUGUUGAAAUAGGAAACAGAACAAGACAACUGGUGUGAUUUUCUCUUCAACCAAUUCAGCUUCUGCUGCUGGAUCCUGCCAAGCUCCUCUACUCCUCUAAGGAAUCCAUCCUAUAGGGGCCCUGCUGGCUCAGGAGGUGACGGACAGUGGGAGCCGUGGAUUCAGCGCGUCCAGGGGUUCUACCGAGACCAGACUCUUCACCUCUAAACCGCUCCAGGAUACUAAUCCCGGUGGCUGGCGGCGCCGCAAGUCAAAU